UCCCUGGAUUAAUACAAUUUUUGAAUAUCCUCUAUAAAAGAUCAACAUCUCUGUAGUCCGUGCUGGCUUUAAUUCGGAGUUUAGGGUCAAAAAGGACCAUGAGGAUGGUCCUACCCUCAGUGUGGCUGGGACCAUGGUGCAAACACAUGUGGGCACCAGGCUUUCCCCAGCCUGAAAAGUGAGAAGGGAAAUGGAUGGGGUCUGUGGAGCUGAGAAAGGUUAUGCAGGAGUCAAGUGCUGUGUGCCAGGACAUGGCUGGGCUGGGAUCCGGAAAGUGAUUCUCUCCAAAGGACGUGGAACAGCUGGCAGCAUGCCUCCUCCCCUCCUCUUCCUCUGAAGCACCCUGGAGUCAGGAUGCUGCCUUUGAUGACUCAGUAGUCUGCUUGGCUGUGGCAGAUCUUGUAUUUCUGGAGAGAAUCAAUAUAAACACUUUCUUUUGUAUUUCCUUAUUUUUUUUUUCCCCUUACCCAUUGUAGUGCCUCUUAUUUCACUGUCUGCUGUCUGUCCCCAGCACCAAAGGAAGCUGUGAUCCCUAAUUCCCAGUGCUGCCCAGCCUGCUAUAAAACUGCUCAGUGUGAAACGUAAUAUGCAAAAAAAAAAAAAAAAAAAAAAAAAAAAUUCCUUUUUUUUUUCUUUUUUUUUCCCCCCCCUCCUUUUUGGCAGGCUUUGGAAAAGGCCUGUUUCCUGGCAGGAGAAAAAGCCAGCCUUGGCUUCAAGCAGCCACUGACAAUUCCCAGCAUAUGGUAAGAGAGGGAGCUUCCGCCUACCCCAUCAGAUCAGUCUCUACCUGUCCCAGACUGAGAUGUAAUGUGGCUGUAGACUGUAACUGUUUACAGAAGUGGGAGCCUUCAAUAGCUGCCUCUUCAUUGCCUGGUUUGGAGACUGACUCAGAAAAUAAGACAUUAAGCUUUAAAGCUAGCUGAAAAAUAAAGGGUGGAGAUGUGAAAAAUGUCA
rnacentral:lncRNA from 1 species